UUUUGUGAAUGAAGACAUCACUUCACCUUUGACUCAGCAACUCUCCUCCGAAAACUCCCCUGGAUAAAUUUCCACUUGUGUGCACAGUGGGGGCUUCUGAGAACAUGGACUGUAGUGUCAUUUUACAGUAAGUUGAGAUCAUGUCACUGCACUCCAGCCUGGGUGACAGAGGAAGACUGUCUCAAAAAAAAUUUUUUUUAAUUAAAAAAAAUAGAUAAAUCUUGAAAAUCAUGUUAUACAAAACAAAUUUAGCUUCAGAAGGGAGGCUUCUCAGCUCCUCGUAGUGUCAUUCGACUCUGUGCUGAGGCAGAGGCACAGACACCACAGAUGCAGAAACAUCCAUCUGACCUUCCCCUCCAACCCUAUCCCCUCCCACCGAGAGCCAGCUUUUAAAUCACAUGUGAUAACUAUUUAAAUGACAGGCACAGCCCACAUUUCUGCCAGUGAUGUAAUGCUGACUCUCUUACAGUAUUUAUCUUAAAACAACCCAACCACAUAUGGCUCCAUGCCGCAAACUCAAGUUCUCUGUGAGAACAUUGUGAACUAACCUAAUAAAUUUAAGCCUUUUCUGGGAAAACUUGGAAUCCAAUGCAGCCAAAAUGUGGAAUUUACAUCUCAAAGCAAGAAAGCAGCUGGAUUUUUUUUUUUAAGGAGGCUAAGAGCAGAGUGGGGAAGCCUCAGAAGUGACACAAGCCUAGUGUUGGCUCUCUGAUGUCCCUGGCACUUGGCCUCAGGAAAGGGCCCUGUGUGCCUGUCAGUGGCAGUGGGAGAAGCAGAUCAGAGUGAGGGAGGGCACAGAGGCUCAAGCUUUUAUGCCAGCUGAGUAGCAAAACUGAACAACUCUUCACCAGCACUCAGAGGGCAUAGGUGUUGGCAAUGGCAGGUGAGGGGCUUGCCUUCGGAGUUGGGGUAUCUGUCUCUUAAGCAGGCAGCAGGCCACUGGGAAGAAAAAAACAGAGGCUC
rnacentral:lncRNA from 1 species